AGAGUUUGAUCCUGGCUCAGGAUGAACGCUGGCGGCGUGCCUAACACAUGCAAGUCGAGCGCGAUUAAAUGAAGUGGAGAGCUUGCUCAAAGCGACAUUUAUGAAAGCGGCGGACGGGUGAGUAACGCGUGGGCAACCUGCCCUGUGCAGAGGGAUAGCCACUGGAAACGGUGAUUAAUACCUCAUGGAGCUAUUGAACCGCAUGGUUUGAUGGUGAAAGUUCCGGCGGCACAGGAUGGGCCCGCGUCUGAUUAGCUAGUUGGUGAGGUAACGGCUCACCAAGGCGACGACGGGUAGCCGGCCUGAGAGGGUGACCGGCCACACUGGGACUGAGACACGGCCCAGACUCCUACGGGAGGCAGCAGUGGGGAAUAUUGCACAAUGGGCGCAAGCCUGAUGCAGCGACGCCGCGUGAGGGAUGACGGCCUUCGGGUUGUAAACCUCUUUCAGUAGGGAAGAAGCGAAAGUGACGGUACCUGCAGAAGAAGCGCCGGCUAACUACGUGCCAGCAGCCGCGGUAAUACGUAGGGCGCAAGCGUUAUCCGGAAUUAUUGGGCGUAAAGAGCUCGUAGGCGGUUUGUCGCGUCUGCCGUGAAAGUCCGGGGCUCAACUCCGGAUCUGCGGUGGGUACGGGCAGACUAGAGUGAUGUAGGGGAGACUGGAAUUCCUGGUGUAGCGGUGAAAUGCGCAGAUAUCAGGAGGAACACCGAUGGCGAAGGCAGGUCUCUGGGCAUUAACUGACGCUGAGGAGCGAAAGCAUGGGGAGCGAACAGGAUUAGAUACCCUGGUAGUCC
rnacentral:rRNA from 1 species